AGCCUAUUACAUUGUGUAUCAUAUUUACAGUCAUAUGACACACUGUAUCCACACAUGAACAAACUCAUUUCUGCUUUCUUUGAACCAAUAUGCAUUGAAUUGUUCAAUAGGCAAAGAAAUAUUCAGAUCUAUACACGACACUAAUCGUUCAAGGAAUCUAUUCACAAGACAUUAGAAGGAGUAACAUUAUGUUCAGAUCCAUAUAUGGAAAUGAUAAUAUUCACGUUCACAAGACAUUUAGAUUAUGUUCAGAGCUUUCAGAACCUCUCAAUCACAAUC
rnacentral:lncRNA from 1 species